UACGUAGGGUGCAAGCGUUAAUCGGAAUUACUGGGCGUAAAGAGUGUGUAGGCGGUGCUCUAAGUUCGGUGUGAAAUCUCCUGGCUCAACUGGGAGGGUGCGCCGGAAACUGGAGUGCUUGAGCGUGGGAGAGGAAAGCGGAAUUCCUGGUGUAGCGGUGAAAUGCGUAGAUAUCAGGAGGAACACCUGUGGUGUAGACGGCUUUCUGGACCAUAGCUGACGCUGAGACACGAAAGCGUGGGUAGCAAACAGG
rnacentral:rRNA from 1 species